rnacentral:rRNA from 1 species
CCUACGGGAGGCAGCAGUAGGGAAUAUUGCUCAAUGGGGGAAACCCUGAAGCAGCAACGCCGCGUGGAGGCUGAAGGUUUUCGGAUUGUAACCUCCUUUUGUUAGAGAAGAUAAUGACGGUAUCUAACGAAUAAGCACCGGCUAACUCAGUGCCAGCAGCCGCGGUAAUACGGAGGGUGCAAGCGUUACUCGGAAUCACUGGGCGUAAAGCGCGCGUAGGCGGGAUAGCAAGUCAGAUGUGAAAUCCUAUGGCUUAACCAUAGAACUGCAUUUGAAAUUGUUAUUCUAGAGUAUGGGAGAGGUAGGUGGAAUUCUUGGUGUAGGGGUAAAAUCCGUAGAGAUCAAGAGGAAUACUCAUUGCGAAGGCGACCUGCUAGAACAUAACUGACGCUGAUGCGCGAAAGCGUGGGGAGCAAACAGGAUUAGAUACCCUUGUAGUC